GGGACGAACGCUGGCGGCGUGCUUAACACAUGCAAGUCGAGCGGUAAGGCCUUUCGGGGUACACGAGCGGCGAACGGGUGAGUAACACGUGGGUGAUCUGCCCUGCACUUCGGGAUAAGCCUGGGAAACUGGGUCUAAUACCGGAUAUGACCUCAGGUUGCAUGACUUGGGGUGGAAAGAUUUAUCGGUGCAGGAUGGGCCCGCGGCCUAUCAGCUUGUUGGUGGGGUAAUGGCCUACCAAGGCGACGACGGGUAGCCGACCUGAGAGGGUGACCGGCCACACUGGGACCGAGACACGGCCCAGACUCCUACGGGAGGCAGCAGUGGGGAAUAUUGCACAAUGGGCGAAAGCCUGAUGCAGCGACGCCGCGUGAGGGAUGACGGCUUCGGUGUAACCUCCUUCAGCGAGGAGAGCGACGAGCGACGUCUGACGAGAAGAGACCGACCG
rnacentral:rRNA from 1 species